GACGAACGCUGGCGGCGUGCUUAACACAUGCAAGUCGAGCGGUAAGGCCCUUUCGGGGGUACACGAGCGGCGAACGAGUGAGUAACACGUGGGUGACCUGCCCUCAGCUCUGGGAUAAGCCUGGGAAACCGGGGUCUAAUACUGGAUAUGACUCCAUGACGCAUGUUGUGGGGUGGAAAGCCUUGUGCGGCUGAGGAUGGGCCCGCGGCCUAUCAGCUUG
rnacentral:rRNA from 1 species